CUACGGGUUGCAGCAGUGAGGAAUUUUGCGCAAUGGGCGAAAGCCUGACGCAGCAACGCCGCGUGGGUGAUGAAGGCCUUUGGGUCGUAAAGCCCUGUCAAGUGGGAAGAACCCGCCGGAAACCAACAGUUUCCGGCGCUGACGGUACCACUGAAGGAAGCACCGGCUAACUCCGUGCCAGCAGCCGCGGUAAUACGGGGGGUGCGAGCGUUAUUCGGAAGUAUUGGGCGUAAAGGGCGCGCAGGCGGCCGUCUAAGUCGGAUGUGAAAGCCCGGGGCUCAACCCCGGAAGUGCAUUCGAAACUGGACGGCUUGAGUAUGGGAGAGGGAAGCGGAAUUCCUGGUGUAGAGGUGAAAUUCGUAGAUAUCAGGAGGAACACCCGUGGCGAAGGCGGCUUCCUGGACCAAUACUGACGCUGAGGCGCGAAGGCGUGGGGAGCAAACAGGAUUAGAUACCCCAGUAGUC
rnacentral:rRNA from 1 species